GGCGAGUAGUUUUUCAUGAAAAACCCGGUACGCGGUAUUGUAAUUAAUGCCGGACUGGGAUUACAAAACUACAGUAUAUACCACUUAUACCAGGGAUAUAUACAGAACAUUCACUAAACUAAACCGGGAUACAAUAAUGAUGUUUUCUCUUUGAGAAUAAUAGUGAUAAUCGUAUCACGAAGAUACCUAACUUCCCUGCCUAACAUAUCGCGUUUAUCACGUGACAUCCCCACAUUCGCAUGAAUUAGAUGUGUGUAUUAUGGAAAAGUGCGUCUUCCAUUGUGUCAGCAGCUUUUACGUGAGAGAUAACCCUUAAAUCGAACUUUGAGAGUGCUCUUUGCUCUACCUAAUCUAAUAUUAUUGUUCUCGUCGUUCCAACUGAUAGUAAGCAGUAGUGUAAGGUGUUUGUUAUUACUGAGGCAAAUGUUUGACGCUGGAGAUACAUUGGCUUUGUUAUUGGGAGUGGUGUUAAGUGCCAUGGGGAUCCUGGCCUGUUUAGGGGCAUAUGCUAGAAAAAAAGCACAUUUUGAACGCAUUUAAUGUAAUACACCUAAAAUAGUACAUGUAUAUAUUGUAUCCAUAAGUAUAACAAUGACUCUAAAAUGUAUCUACUGUAUCGAAAUAAAUAUAAGUAGCUUUAAAGUUUGAA